ACGGGAGGCAGCAGUGGGGAAUAUUGCACAAUGGGCGCAAGCCUGAUGCAGCCAUGCCGCGUGUAUGAAGAAGGCCUUCGGGUUGUAAAGUACUUUCAGUCGUGAGGAAGGUGUUAAGGUUAAUAACCUUAGCAAUUGACGUUAGCGACAGAAGAAGCACCGGCUAACUCCGUGCCAGCAGCCGCGGUAAUACGGAGGGUGCGAGCGUUAAUCGGAAUUACUGGGCGUAAAGGGCACGCAGGCGGUUAAUUAAGUUGGAUGUGAAAUCCCCGGGCUUAACCUGGGAAUGGCAUUCAAGACUGGUUAGCUAGAGUCUUGUAGAGGGGGUAGAAUUCCAUGUGUAGCGGUGAAAUGCGUAGAGAUGUGGAGGAAUACCGGUGGCGAAGGCGGCCCCUGGACAAAGACUGACGCUCAUGUGCGAAAGCGUGGGGAGCAAACAGGAUUAGAUA
rnacentral:rRNA from 1 species